rnacentral:lncRNA from 1 species
CCCCUUGUUCCCAAUAACACAGGCUUGCCAAAAAAGAAAAGUAAUUUAAAAUAUAGAUCUCGAUUCAUUGUCUCUGAUUACUAGAUAACCGUAAGUCUUAUACAAAAUGAUUCCAGCAGUAUGUGGUAUUUAUUUACAUCCAACCCUUGUUCCAAAAAUAGCUGGGUAUGUCUUAGGGGAAUAUGUAGAGUACAGCCAGCUAAAAAUAAACACCAUAGGGAAACUGCUGCCAAGGAGGAAAAGAGGACAGGAAAAUCAGCCUAUUUAAAGAACCCACAGUAGGAUGUCAUGGAAAGGGAAAAGAAGCAUCACUAUUCCAAAAAGAAUCUUCUGGAUGAAUCAUCAUAUACCAAAAGCUCCACUCGGUGACGGGCAGGCACAGAGGGAUAAAGCUCGACCAGCGUCAGAGGAAUCAAUGCUAUCACCUUAGCAGAGGGCUGUUUAGCAUGUGUAUGUGAGUAUUUGUCAUGCAUUCUGAUAUUGAUAACCCAUUUCCAUACCGUUCUCCUUAACAAGUAAUUGAAGAGGGAUACAAAGAUAUACAUAGAAAGUGCCCUGCAGCACUCUUUCUAAGACGGAGCCAACCACAGGUUAAUCGGAGGAGAUGAUUUAAGCACACUAUGCUUCACCCGUGUAAACCAGCACUCUACUGGAAUUAUAAGUGAUGGUGUAAAAGUCUAUGGACAUGGCACAAGGUCGGCAUUUCCUCAGCCAUCUGAAAAAAACAGCAAUCUUUUUUAAAGUAGGAAGGAGAGGAGGAGGAGCAGCCAUCAGGGAGCACCGGAAGCCGGCGCCCAGGAAGCUCUGGUCACACAAGGUGCCGGCACCUGUCCCGCAGAGGCUUCUGUGUGGCCACCGAAUCCCGCUGACUGCUACACUUUAGUGACACACGUUACUGAAGAAGAGAAAGGGAACCAGCUGCAGCAAAAUUCAUCAUUUGUCUAUAUUAUCUUUACGGCUGGGGCCCGCCCGAAGGUGCUUCUGAGAGCAAAUAUUAUCCUUUCUACACUUAAAAUGCAUCUAGAAAAUGCAGCAACUGUGCCUUCUUCCACCUUGGCUCUGUCAGUGCCUCCAUUUUCUCAUUUUCUAAAUAAAAUGUACAACUAUUAGUUCACAAAGGCAAUGUUGUCUGUUUCAAGCACAGAAAUUGUCAUCAAAAUGUACCAUUACAAGGUGUCCCUCUCACUCACUCAGUUUUGCAUCUGAG